rnacentral:rRNA from 1 species
UACGGAGGGUGCAAACGUUGCUCGGAAUUAUUGGGCGUAAAGCGCACGUAGGCGGCUCGCUAAGUCGGGUGUGAAAUCCCUCGGCUCAACCGAGGAAGUGCAUUCGAAACUAGCAGGCUAGAGUACUGAAGAGGGUCGCGGAAUUCCCGGUGUAGUGGUGGAAUGCGUAGAUAUCGGGAGGAACACCGGUGGCGAAGGCGGUUCUCUGGGCCUUACCUGACACUGAGGCGCGAAAGCGUGGGGAGCGAACCGG